rnacentral:rRNA from 1 species
AUUGAACGCUGGCGGAAUGCUUUACACAUGCAAGUCGAGCGGCAGCGCGGCCUUCGGGCUGGCGGCGAGCGGCGAACGGGUGAGUAAUGCAUCGGAACAUGCCCAGUCGUGGGGGAUAACACUUCGAAAGAAGUGCUAAUACCGCAUACGUCCUGAGGGGGAAAGCGGGGGAUCGCAAGACCUCGCGCGAUUGGAGUGGCCGAUGUCAGAUUAGCUAGUUGGUGGGGUAAAGGCCUACCAAGGCGACGAUCUGUAGCUGGUCUGAGAGGAUGAUCAGCCACACUGGGACUGAGACACGGCCCAGACUCCUACGGGAGGCAGCAGUGGGGAAUUUUGGACAAUGGGGGCAACCCUGAUCCAGCCAUUCCGCGUGAGUGAAGAAGGCCUUCGGGUUGUAAAGCUCUUUCGGCAGGGACGAAACGGUGGGCUCUAACAUAGUCCGCUAAUGACGGUACCCGAAGAAGAAGCACCGGCUAACUACGUG